AGGAUAAAGAUGAGGCAACAGUUGGUCAUGAUAUAGAGAGCUUAAGAGGCAAAUCCCAUUCAGCUGUUUCUGCUAGUAAUGUGACACUGGUGGGGGGUACAAGUGAACGGUCCAAGUGGAAACGGAAGACAAUUGUGACACUUGCAUUGACUGUUCUUACAAGUUCACAAGCUAUUCUCAUUGUCUGGUCAAAGAGAGCUGGGAAGUAUGAGUAUAGUGUUACCACUGCAAAUUUUUUGGUGAGUGAAGAAUACUUCUUGAUUUAA